UACGAAGGGGGCUAGCGUUGUUCGGAAUUACUGGGCGUAAAGCGUGCGCAGGCGGUCUAUUAAGACAGGUGUGAAAUCCCCGGGCUUAACCUGGGAACUGCGCUUGUAACUGAUAGGCUUGAGUGUGGCAGAGGGGGGUGGAAUUCCAGGUGUAGCAGUGAAAUGCGUAGAUAUCUGGAGGAACACCGAUGGCGAAGGCAGCCCCCUGGGCUAACACUGACGCUCUUGCACGAAAGCGUGGGGAGCAAACAGG
rnacentral:rRNA from 1 species